rnacentral:rRNA from 1 species
UACGGAGGGUGCAAGCAUUAAUCGGAAUUAUUGGGCGUAAAGGGCGCGUAGGCGGUAGGAUUAGUCAGAUGUGAAAUCCCGGAGCUUAACUUCGGAACUGCAUUUGAAACUGUCCUUCUAGAGGGUAGGCGGAGAAAACGGAAUUCCACAAGUAGCGGUGAAAUGCGUAGAUAUCAUUUGGAACGCCAAUGGUGAAAACAGGUAGCUGGGAGUGUGCUGACGCUGAGACACGAAAGCCAGGGGAGCGAACGGG